rnacentral:lncRNA from 1 species
UAGUGGUCUACCAGAGAGGGCACAUGUGCCUCAAUUGGCCUAUAGCAUAGCGGCUCAUUAUCCUUCCACCGCUGGUGGCGGGCGGUACUCGCUGCUCUGUGAAGCCAGCCUCACGCAGUGUCCGCCACUUUAGGUGUUGGGAUGCAAAGGCUUUCGCCAACGCACCCGAAACCCACUACACAAGUUGGAAUGGGUGGUCCACAGUUUGUAGCACUAGACCCAGGCACAUGCACCACAAUUGACAUCCACACUACCUUAUUGCCCCCGCUCGGGUUACAAGCAAUCGCUACUUGCUCAGCGAGUGAGGGGGUUCAGGACUACCUAUUUAUGGUGGUGUUGUACUCUAUGAGCCGGCGGUGUGGUAUUUACCAACUACAAAUAGUGUCAUGCAUGUGACUUGCUAGUUGACAAAGUCUGUUGUCGAGCUAGAUGUGGGCUAUGGAUGAAGCACAUUACGAUAUAGUAGGCCUAUUUUGUUUUUUGUUGUUUUUGGGCCAAUAUGGACUUUAUGUUGAUGUUGUGAAAUUUUUUCUUGUGUUUUCUCUUCCUACGAUGUGGAAAGUGGGUGCGUCAGAGAAGAAAGAAAGAGUGGCUAGAAUUGAUUUUACGUCAUACCAUUGAGAACACUACUCAGAAGCAGAAGCAACAAUAUUUCAUACAUAUACAACACUUGUAAUCCAUAUAAACAACUUUCCUUUAAAAUAUAAUAUAAACCACAUGAUUUAUAUCCUGGGUCGGCUAUCUCCACAAAGGGCAAGAAAACGCUCCUAAGUUUGUAGUAUAGAACUAAGAGUAUCGACUCUCACGAUUUCUUCCCGACAUAUGCAAACUAGACAGUAAUAACAUAAAAUAAAGAAAUAUGUGUUAACAUGAACUUAUCACAUGUAUUUCAACAUAUAGAUUGUUGAUUAUUAUGGUAGAUUAUAUAAUAUAGGGGUUCCCGAAGAAAUACAUAAAAAACAAGAGCAUUAAAAUUUCCUUUUCAGAUUUGGCUAACUGGUAAAGGGAGUUGGAGUAUCUGAGUUUCCAAAUUUGGGACGUCGCUCUAUAGAAGGAAUAUAAAUACGUUGGAAAAAUUCUACAAGGAAAGGUUUAAUACAAGUAGGGCUAAGAAAAACUCAAUGAGGCUUUGGUCGCAUGGUCACAAGACUUGAGACAAGAAACACAAAGACACCAAAGUAAUUAGUAUGAGAGUUUUCCAAGUUUGGUGUCUUGAUGUAGAAAAAAUAAAUAUAUGACAAACAUGUUUUUUCGCAAGGCAUGGUAAAGUAAGUGGGAGUGAGCAAUAAAUUUCAUCCUAGAUUUAGAAGGAACAAAUAUAUCACUAAAUACGUUUUUUCACAAUGCCAAGUUAACCAGGCGGGACCGAUAAACAAUUCUAGCAAGACUAGGUUGUACUAGCCAGAAACUACAUACAACAAAGGAAAAAUGAAGAAAAUGAUGGUCUACCAGAUAUGGCGCAUGAGCCUUAAGGUGCACCUAGAGGGAAGUAGAAGAAAUAAAUAUAUAAUAGGAUAUGUUUUUCGCAAUGCAAGGUAAAGUGUAGAUGUGCUCUAACUGGGCUAAGAUUGCAGCGAUACAUUAUGCAUCCACAAGGUUGGCACAUGGAAAAAGAUAGAGAGAGAAAUGUAGACGUAGGACCAGGAGAAGAACAUUCAAUGAGACAUGAUUGCACGGACAUAGAACUAGAUAUAAGACAAGAGUUAAAGAAAAAUAAAGGAACUAAAUUUUCUUUUGCACACUAAGUAUGAAUGGAGUUGUAGUAUCUGAUAUCAAAAAUUAAUUUAUUUCAAGAUGCAGAACAAAAUUGUGAUACUCGUAAUGGUUACAUAGGAACAAAAGUAGAUAAGAAAAAUAGCAAAAAGAUAGUGGUCUACCAGAGAGGGCACAUGUGCCUCAAUUGGCCUAUAGCAUAGCGGCUCAUUAUCCUUCCACCGCUGGUGGCGGGCGAUACACGCUGCUCUAUGAAGCCAGCCUCACGAAAUGUCCGCCACUUUAGGUCUUGGGAUGCAAAGGCUUUCGCCAAGGCACCCGAAACCCACUACACAACUUGGAAUGGGUGGUCCACAGUUUGUAGCACUAGACCCAGGCACAUGCACCACAAUUGACAUCCACACUACCUUAUUGCCCCCGCUCGGGUUACAAGCAAUCGCUACU